rnacentral:tRNA from 1 species
GCUUAUGUAGCUUAAUAGGUAAAGCAAUCGCUUGAAGCGCGAUCUAUGUGAGUUCGAUUCUCAACUUAAGCA